CCUACGGGUGGCAGCAGUGGGGAAUAUUGCACAAUGGGGGAAACCCUGAUGCAGCGACGCCGCGUGAGUGAAGAAGUAAUUCGUUAUGUAAAGCUCUAUCAGCAGGGAAGAAAAUGACGGUACCUGAGGAAGAAGCCCCGGCUAACUACGUGCCAGCAGCCGCGGUAAUACGUAGGGGGCAAGCGUUAUCCGGAUUUACUGGGUGUAACGGGAGCGUAGACGGGAGUGCAAGUCUGGAGUGAAAGGCGGGGGCUCAACCCCCGGACUGCUCUGGAAACUGUACGGCGGGAGUGCAGGAGAGGUAAGUGGAAUUCCUAGUGUAGCGGUGAAAGGCGUAGAUAUUAGGAGGAACACCAGUGGCGAAGGCGGCUUACUGGACUGUAACUGACGUUGAGGCUCGAAAGCGUGGGGAGCAAACAGGAUUAGAUACCCGGGUAGUC
rnacentral:rRNA from 1 species